AACGAACGCUGGCGGCAUGCCUAACACAUGCAAGUCGAACGAGACCUUCGGGUCUAGUGGCGCACGGGUGCGUAACGCGUGGGAACCUGCCCUUAGGUUCGGAAUAACUCCCCGAAAGGGGUGCUAAUACCGGAUAAUGUCUUCGGACCAAAGAUUUAUCGCCUUUGGAUGGGCCCGCGUUGGAUUAGCUAGUUGGUAGGGUAAAAGCCUACCAAGGCGACGAUCCAUAGCUGGUCUGAGAGGAUGAUCAGCCACACUGGGACUGAGACACGGCCCAGACUCCUACGGGAGGCAGCAGUGGGGAAUAUUGGACAAUGGGCGAAAGCCUGAUCCAGCAAUGCCGCGUGAGUGAUGAAGGCCUUAGGGUGGUAAAGCUCUUUUACCCGGGAUGAUAAUGACAGUACCGGGAGAAUAAGCGCCGGCUAACUCCGUG
rnacentral:rRNA from 1 species